rnacentral:tRNA from 1 species
AAGGUAGGCUCGCAAGCACCGAGAACUGCUAAUCCUCGGCCCCCUGGUUGAACCCCAAGGCUAACUC